GUGGCUCGAGUCUGCGUUCUACUCCCGAUCCGUGGCUCAGGUAAUGGAUCUCCGGUAGGGGGCAGUGGGCAGCGUAAUAAAUGACAAGUCAGAUGGAAGAAGGAGCUCUCUCCCGCCCGUGGCCACGUUAUCCUGCAGCGCCAUUGACGCCCGCCGAGGUCUGCGGCGGAAGGAAAAUGCGGCGGCGAUUCCUGAAUGGAGUUCCUCAUGCAACCGAUUAGGAGGACCGCGGUGAUGGAGGAGGUGAACGACAACGAGCUACCAAUGGAGCCUCUGCUCUACCCAGCUGUGGCGAUAGGAGCCGAAGAGCUGCCCCCAAUGGCCACAGGUAGCACUGACGGGCGGAUUUGUGCGGCGGAUGUGACAGUCGCGGCAGAGGGGGGCGAUGAACCGCAAGCAUCUAAGCAAUCCAUAGGUCAAAUUGAUCCAAAAACUCCUGGCUAGACUCGCAGGGUUAGAAUUGGAGCUGAUGCUCCUGGGAGGGCGCCUUGCCCUGGGCCACCCAGUGCCCUUGAGAAGGCAAUAAGGG